rnacentral:lncRNA from 1 species
GGAGGAUCUUGAGUUCAAAGUCAGCCUCAGCAACUUCGUGAGGCCCUAAGCAACUUGGCAAGACCCUUUCUCAAAAUAAAAAUCAACCUCGGGGUGUGGCUCAGUGGUUAUGCAACCCUGGGGUUCAAUCCCAGGUCAAAACAAAACAUCUCAGACACAGGUACUACAUUUGACCAGAGCCAGCCAUUUUACUGUUAAAAGACAAGCCUCAGUACUACAUUAUCAUGCUGACACGUUUAGUUCUAGCCUGAAUCUCUAAGGCGUUGGUCCCAUCCUUAGUCUACUCCCUUCAAUGUCCUGAAGAGAGGACAACUAAAAGAGCCUAAGUGGAUUUCCUAGCCAAUAAGUCACCUCAGUUCUAGCUGCUCUGGGCUUCUUUGUGAUUACUGUGCCUUUUCUCAGAUCAUGAUCUCUGAACAGUACUGUUAAUAUUGGAACAGCUUUGAUUAAAGUGAAGUCAGAGCCUUGUGCUUCCUAAGCACAUGCUCUACCACUGAGCUAUACCACUAGCCUGAACCCUGGUUUGUCUGUAAAAUGAUGCUAACUUUAUAUUACUACUAUUUUUCUUCCUGCCUCCUUUCUAGGUUAUUAUAAGGAUCAAAUCAAUUAGGGAUAAGUUCCUUAUAAAAUGUGAGACACUAAAAAUAUUACAACCUAUAGUUCAACUAUUACAUAACCAGUCUGAUAUUCUCACCCAUUUUCUGGAUUUUGGUUCUUUGUAAGCUGUAUGAGGCUUCUGGCAGGAAGUACAUGGAACGUUCAAGAGGAUAAGAGCUAUGUUCCAAAUGAAGCUGUGGCCUUUGGUCACAACCACCCCACAGUCCAACAGGAAGGGAGCCAGGGAAUGAACAAGCCCACUUGAUGUCCUCUUGCCCUUUGCAUUCCUGCUGAUUCUUCCCAUUCAUUGACCUGCCCUGCCUCUGGGGUUCAGGGAGCCCUCUAGUUCGGAGGUCAGUCUCCUGAGGCAUGCAUUUGAAGGCCAGAUGGGCCCGAGGGCAGAGGGCAGCUCUCCAGCAC